AACGAACGCUGGCGGCAGGCCUCAUACAUGCAAGUCGAGCGAUUAAGACUCCUUCGGGAGUGUAUAAAGCGGCGAACGGGUGAGUAACAGGUGGAUGAUCUACCUUCCGGUGGGGGAUAACGGCUGGAAACGGCCGCUAAUACCGCAUUCGGUUAAUACGCUGUGGCGUAUUAAAGAAAGGCGCCUCAAAGCGCCGCCGGGAGAUGAGUCCGCCCCCCAUUAGCUAGUUGGUGAGAUAACAGCUCACCAAGGCAACGAUGGGUAGCCGAACUGAGAGGUUGAUCGGCCACACUGGAACUGAGACACGGUCCAGACACCUACGGGUGGCAGCAGUAGGGAAUAUUGGACAAUGGGGGCAACCCUGAUCCAGCCAUCCCGCGUGAAGGAAGACAGCCUUACGGGUUGUAAACUUCUUUUCUGUCAGAAGAAUAAGCUUGUCGAGACGAGUGAUGCCGGUAUGACAGGAAUAAGCAUCGGCUAACUCCGUG
rnacentral:rRNA from 1 species